rnacentral:rRNA from 1 species
UAAGCGACUAAGCGUACACGGUGGAUGCCCUGGCAGUCAGAGGCGAUGAAGGACGUGCUAAUCUGCGAUAAGCGUCGGUAAGGUGAUAUGAACCGUUAUAACCGGCGAUUUCCGAAUGGGGAAACCCAGUGUGAUUCGUCACACUAUCAUUAACUGAAUCCAUAGGUUAAUGAGGCGAACCGGGGGAACUGAAACAUCUAAGUACCCCGAGGAAAAGAAAUCAACCGAGAUUCCCCCAGUAGCGGCGAGCGAACGGGGAGGAGCCCAGAGCCUGAAUCAGUGUGUGUGUUAGUGGAAGCGUCUGGAAAGGCGCGCGAUACAGGGUGACAGCCCCGUACACAAAAAUGCACAUGCUGUGAGCUCGAUGAGUAGGGCGGGACACGUGGUAUCCUGUCUGAAUAUGGGGGGACCAUCCUCCAAGGCUAAAUACUCCUGACUGACCGAUAGUGAACCAGUACCGUGAGGGAAAGGCGAAAAGAACCCCGGCGAGGGGAGUGAAAAAGAACCUGAAACCGUGUACGUACAAGCAGUGGGAGCACAGAGCAAUCUGUGUGACUGCGUACCUUUUGUAUAAUGGGUCAGCGACUUAUAUUCUGUAGCAAGGUUAACCGAAUAGGGGAGCCGAAGGGAAACCGAGUCUUAACUGGGCGUUAAGUUGCAGGGUAUAGACCCGAAACCCGGUGAUCUAGCCAUGGGCAGGUUGAAGGUUGGGUAACACUAACUGGAGGACCGAACCGACUAAUGUUGAAAAAUUAGCGGAUGACUUGUGGCUGGGGGUGAAAGGCCAAUCAAACCGGGAGAUAGCUGGUUCUCCCCGAAAGCUAUUUAGGUAGCGCCUCGUGAAUUCAUCUCCGGGGGUAGAGCACUGUUUCGGCAAGGGGGUCAUCCCGACUUACCAACCCGAUGCAAACUGCGAAUACCGGAGAAUGUUAUCACGGGAGACACACGGCGGGUGCUAACGUCCGUCGUGAAGAGGGAAACAACCCAGACCGCCAGCUAAGGUCCCAAAGUCAUGGUUAAGUGGGAAACGAUGUGGGAAGGCCCAGACAGCCAGGAUGUUGGCUUAGAAGCAGCCAUCAUUUAAAGAAAGCGUAAUAGCUCACUGGUCGAGUCGGCCUGCGCGGAAGAUGUAACGGGGCUAAACCAUGCACCGAAGCUGCGGCAGCGACACUGUGUGUUGUUGGGUAGGGGAGCGUUCUGUAAGCCUGUGAAGGUGUCUGUGAGGAUGCUGGAGGUAUCAGAAGUGCGAAUGCUGACAUAAGUAACGAUAAAGCGGGUGAAAAGCCCGCUCGCCGGAAGACCAAGGGUUCCUGUCCAACGUUAAUCGGGGCAGGGUGAGUCGACCCCUAAGGCGAGGCCGAAAGGCGUAGUCGAUGGGAAACAGGUUAAUAUUCCUGUACUUGGUGUUACUGCGAAGGGGGGACGGAGAAGGCUAUGUUGGCCGGGCGACGGUUGUCCCGGUUUAAGCGUGUAGGCUGGUUUUCCAGGCAAAUCCGGAAAAUCAAGGCUGAGGCGUGAUGACGAGGCACUACGGUGCUGAAGCAACAAAUGCCCUGCUUCCAGGAAAAGCCUCUAAGCAUCAGGUAACAUCAAAUCGUACCCCAAACCGACACAGGUGGUCAGGUAGAGAAUACCAAGGCGCUUGAGAGAACUCGGGUGAAGGAACUAGGCAAAAUGGUGCCGUAACUUCGGGAGAAGGCACGCUGAUAUGUAGGUGAAGUCCCUCGCGGAUGGAGCUGAAAUCAGUCGAAGAUACCAGCUGGCUGCAACUGUUUAUUAAAAACACAGCACUGUGCAAACACGAAAGUGGACGUAUACGGUGUGACGCCUGCCCGGUGCCGGAAGGUUAAUUGAUGGGGUCAGCGCAAGCGAAGCUCUUGAUCGAAGCCCCGGUAAACGGCGGCCGUAACUAUAACGGUCCUAAGGUAGCGAAAUUCCUUGUCGGGUAAGUUCCGACCUGCACGAAUGGCGUAAUGAUGGCCAGGCUGUCUCCACCCGAGACUCAGUGAAAUUGAACUCGCUGUGAAGAUGCAGUGUACCCGCGGCAAGACGGAAAGACCCCGUGAACCUUUACUAUAGCUUGACACUGAACAUUGAGCCUUGAUGUGUAGGAUAGGUGGGAGGCUUUGAAGUGUGGACGCCAGUCUGCAUGGAGCCGACCUUGAAAUACCACCCUUUAAUGUUUGAUGUUCUAACGUGGACCCGUGAUCCGGGUUGCGGACAGUGUCUGGUGGGUAGUUUGACUGGGGCGGUCUCCUCCUAAAGAGUAACGGAGGAGCACGAAGGUUGGCUAAUCCUGGUCGGACAUCAGGAGGUUAGUGCAAUGGCAUAAGCCAGCUUGACUGCGAGCGUGACGGCGCGAGCAGGUGCGAAAGCAGGUCAUAGUGAUCCGGUGGUUCUGAAUGGAAGGGCCAUCGCUCAACGGAUAAAAGGUACUCCGGGGAUAACAGGCUGAUACCGCCCAAGAGUUCAUAUCGACGGCGGUGUUUGGCACCUCGAUGUCGGCUCAUCACAUCCUGGGGCUGAAGUAGGUCCCAAGGGUAUGGCUGUUCGCCAUUUAAAGUGGUACGCGAGCUGGGUUUAGAACGUCGUGAGACAGUUCGGUCCCUAUCUGCCGUGGGCGCUGGAGAACUGAGGGGGGCUGCUCCUAGUACGAGAGGACCGGAGUGGACGCAUCACUGGUGUUCGGGUUGUCAUGCCAAUGGCACUGCCCGGUAGCUAAAUGCGGAAGAGAUAAGUGCUGAAAGCAUCUAAGCACGAAACUUGCCCCGAGAUGAGUUCUCCCUGACCCUUUAAGGGUCCUGAAGGAACGUUGAAGACGACGACGUUGAUAGGCCGGGUGUGUAAGCGCAGCGAUGCGUUGAGCUAACCGGUACUAAUGAACCGUGAGGCUUAACCU